AGUCUAGUGUUGAGCAGUACGUAAUUAAAAUGGCAUUUAUUAAAUUAAAUUGCAAAAGUGCGCUUAUUCUCGACACUUUUUAUAAUUGUGUGCUGUUUUUAAAUUUUCUAUUUUGUUUAGUCCAUUGUGCAUUGCAAACUAGUGAUAAGCGUGGAUAUUUUGUUGGCUGCAAAAUAAAACAAAGUGCGUUCCAAGUGAGGAUCUUGAAGCUUCGAUCGCCCUAAGAUAGCUAUGGUAUCUGGUAUGAGAUCAGAAACUUUCCGAGCCAAGUUGUUAAAAGCAUAAAAAUCGGCGAAUGCAAAAGUGGCAAAUAAAAAUGACAAAAUCGAGGCCCUAGAAUAGAACGACUCUAUAACUUGUAGCCGAAUGAAAAAGUAUCCACAUAGAACACAGGCAAAAAGGAUGCGAGCAGGGGUCCACAACAUUAAAUGUCGAAAAGUGCGACAAUAUUCACGGCAGACAUUGAUGAGCUCCUGUUGUCGUUUGAAGAACUCUUGUAAAUCAUGAAGAUCGGCUGGUUUCGCCAACAACUGUUCCAGAUGAGUCCUUAAUCCCUUGCCACAAAAAUAUAGUUUCCAAAGAAUUUCAUAUUUAAUUAGAGAUAUGGCAAAAACAAUAUUAUGCGAACAGAAUGAAUACAGAAUGUAGAACAUGUGGACCGAACACGAUUCGGGCCAUCGUUUAUAAUUCCAAUAGCACUGAAGUACAACAUUAAAGCAUGUAAUAAAAACUCUUACAUACAGCAUAGUAUAAAGAUAUCUCUGAUCUUUCACAGAUAUUGCGCACAAUACACAGUCGAGAUUAUAACAAUCGUAUGAAGGAAGCAUUGUAACAAAGUUCCAUAAUUAAGCCAAUUUGAAAAUUGUAGGAAUUCAGUUUCCGGAUUUUGUGUCGACAAAUCCAGAAAUACAAAGGGAGUUCCACAUAUCAUUACGAAAUGAUAAACCAUACUGUACACCUUCAAUAUUGUUGAUCUCUUUAAGCGACCCGUUUGUAAUUCGGGAUAAUAGUGAGUUAUUCCAUUUAACGCUUGAAACCAACCGAUAUAAACUUCGACCUUCUUCAUGAUGAUGAGAACUGAAACCGCUUAAGCAAUAAUGUUGCAAUUAAUUUCAUACCGAUAAAAUAUUAUCGAGUAACUGUCACUCUCUAAUUUUAAAUUCCUGCUUCUUCAUGCAGAAACCCUCAACAAUAUGAAAAUUGAUAAUGAACUUUCGAUUCGCACUUUCGUAAUUUUAUCAUUAACUAAAUUGGAUAAUUAACUAUCGUGGCUACAAUCAAGAAGUCUGCCCUCAGUAUUAAAAUAGUAAAACCUUUUAUAACAUACUUUGAGACA